GGUUGUGUAGUGUAGUGGUUAUCACUCCAGAUUCUGAGGACAGACUCUUCUGGCGACCCCGGUUCGACUCCGGGCACGACCU